rnacentral:misc_RNA from 1 species
ACAAACUUGGUCAUUUAGAGGAAGUAAAAGUCGUAACAAGGUCUCCGUUGGUGAACCAGCGGAGGGAUCAUUACCGAGUUUACAACUCCCAAACCCUUUGUGAACAUUACCAUUCGUUGCUUCGGCGGGACCGCCCCAGCGCCAUGUGCGCUGGAACCAGGCGCCCGCCGGGGGCCCGAAACUCUUGUUUUGUCAGUGGUAUUCUCUCUGAGUGGUACAAGCAAAAUAAAUUAAAACUUUCAACAACGGAUCUCUUGGUUCUGGCAUCGAUGAAGAACGCAGC